rnacentral:rRNA from 1 species
AGCCUGUCCCAGUUCGGACUGGAGUCUGCAACCCGACUCUACGAAGUUGGAUUCGCUAGUAAUCGCGCAUCAGCCAUGGCGCGGUGAAUACGUUCCCGGGCCUUGUACACACCGCCCGUCGAGCCAUGGGAGCCGGGGGCGCCUGAAGUCCGGGACCGCGAGGACCGGCCUAGGGCGAAACUGGUAACUGGGGCUAAGUCGUAACAAGGUAAC